GCCGAGGAGAAGAAACAGAAAUAUAAUAUUCAAUUUAUAGCAAGUCCAAAUUAUAAGUAAAAUAAAAAAGUGUGGGGGUGCACGUUGCAAAAUAAACAAUAUGUAGCAUGGGAAGAAAUCAACGGGCUUUAGCCGGUGCGUAAUUGCAUUUUUUUCAUUAACAUUUCAUUUAUUUAUUUCUUAGAUUCCUAACUAAGUAUAUAGUAAUGUUUAAGCAUAAUCCAUUCUUACAGAGUUCUAAUUAUAUUUUUACAGCUAAAAGACAAGAAAAAACAUCUAAAUUACAAGAAGACAUUGCUGAAAUAAAGGGAAAAAUAUCUAAAUUAGAACAAAGAAUGGAGAAAGACAAAGUCUUUAGUACAUCAUUUUUUGAUGACUUUGGCACAGCUAUUAGUUUAUUUUUUGUUAGCAUG
rnacentral:sRNA from 1 species